rnacentral:rRNA from 1 species
AAUACAUGCAAGUCGAGCGGACAGAAGGGAGCUUGCUCCCGGACGUUAGCGGCGGACGGGUGAGUAACACGUAGGUAACCUGCCCCUUAGACUGGGAUAACUCCGGGAAACCGGAGCUAAUACGGGAUAAUAAAGAGAAUCACCUGAUUUUCUUUUGAAAGACGGUUUCGGCUGUCACUAAGGGAUGGGCCUGCGGCGCAUUAGCUAGUUGGUAAGGUAACGGCUUACCAAGGCGACGAUGCGUAGCCGACCUGAGAGGGUGAUCGGCCACACUGGGACUGAGACACGGCCCAGACUCCUACGGGAGGCAGCAGUAGGGAAUCUUCCGCAAUGGACGAAAGUCUGACGGAGCAACGCCGCGUGAGUGAGGAAGGCCUUCGGGUCGUAAAGCUCUGUUGUGAGGGAAGAACAAGUACCGGGGUAACUACCGGUACCUUGACGGUACCUCACCAGAAAGCCACGGCUAACUACGUGCCAGCAGCCGCGGUAAUACGUAGGUGGCAAGCGUUGUCCGGAAUUAUUGGGCGUAAAGCGCGCGCAGGCGGCUUCUUAAGUCUGAUGUGAAAUCUCGGGGCUCAACCCCGAGCGGCCAUUGGAAACUGGGAAGCUUGAGUGCAGAAGAGGAGAGUGGAAUUCCACGUGUAGCGGUGAAAUGCGNAGAUAUGUGGAGGAACACCAGUGGCGAAGGCGACUCUCUGGUCUGUAACUGACGCUGAGGCGCGAAA